UCUCCCUCAUCCGAGGGAGGUGUUCCUCACCGCCGGCUCCAUGGCACUCAGCAGCUCGACGCGACGUCCCACCGAUCAUGGCACAAGCUCCAGCGUCGCCGCGAAGAUCAUCGAACCACACCGAGCCCAGCAACAACAGGUUCCAGUUCUCCGCCGUUCGAGCAGCCCUCCGCCGACGCAAGCACACGAUCCACACCUCUCUCUUCCCUCCGACGCCGUAGAUGAGCUACCACUAUGCAACUCGAGCCGAGGCAAGUCACCCUUGAAGGAUCGAGCUCCACCGACGAUCCAUCCAUCUCCGACGAGUUCCAAGAGCCCCACUAUACGAUCUAGGUGAUCGUUAAAUCGAGGAAAGGAAUUAGCAUCGCGAAUUGUGGAAUUACGCUCAAGUCAAUAAGGGGAUACUUCCACAGGUGCUGAGUAGUGGUGAUCGGGUGACGACUCCG